rnacentral:rRNA from 1 species
GGUUUCUUGUAUAUAUAAGAAAUUUAACCUGCCCACUGAAAAAUUUUGAAGGGCCGCAGUAUUUUGACUGUGCAAAGGUAGCAUAAUCAUUAGUCUUUUAAUUGGAGGCUGGCAUGAAUGGUUGGACGAGGUAAAUACUGUUUUAUAGUAAUUUUAGUUGAAUUUAGGUUUUAAGUAAAAAAACUUAAGUGUUAUUAAGGGACGAGAAGACCCUAUAGAGUUUAAUAUAUGAAGUAAUUAAUUUAGUUAAAAAUGAAUUUUUAAUUAUUAUGAAAUUUAUUUAAUUGGGGUGAUUGGAAAAUAAAUUUAACUUUUCUUUAAAAUUAAUUUUAUAAUUAGAGUAAAGAUCCAUAUAUAGUGAUUAGAAGAUUAAAUUACCUUAGGGAUAACAGCAUAAUUUUUUUUGAGAGUUCAUAUCGAAAGAAGAGAUUGUGA